CCUACGGGAGGCAGCAGUGAGGAAUAUUGGGCAAUGGGCGAGAGCCUGAACCAGCAAAGUCGCGUGAGGGAGGACUGCCCUAUGGGUUGUAAACCUCUUUUGUCGGGGAGCAAAAGCCGGACGUGUCCGGCUGUGAGAGUAGCCGAAGAAAAAGCAACGGCAAACUCCGUCCCAGCAGCCGCGGUAAUACGGAGGAUGCGAGCGUUAUCCGGGUUUUUUGGGUUAAAAGGGUGCGUAGGCGGGAUUUUAAGUUAGUGGUAAAACGUCGGGGCUUCACGCUGAUUGGCCAUUGAAACUGGAGUACUAGAGUACAGACGAGGUAGGCGGAAUAAGUUGAGUAGCGGUGAAAUGCUUAGAUAUAACUUAGAACCCCGAUGGCGAAGGCAGCUUACCAGACUGUUACUGACGCUGAAGCACGAGAGCGUGGGUAGCGAACAGGAUUAGAUACCCCGGUAGUC
rnacentral:rRNA from 1 species